AAUAGUAGCAAUGCACUAAUUAAUUUUACUUUAAACAUUGACACAUACGUUUAUUAAAUAAAAUUUAUCAUUUUAUCAUAAAACGCAAAAUUGUGAAAGUAUCAUGGAGAUUAGUACUCAAAUUAUUAUAUUUUACAUCAAGAAGAUAAAGUAAUGUGGGAUACAGAAAAAAAUUCUCUAUUAAAGUCAAGCUUAAUAUAAUUACAUUAUUGUGACAAUGUUUGCAAUAAAUGGCAAAAUGUUAUUCAAUUUUUUUUCUAGUGUAUAAGAUAUUAUUUCUGUAAUUAUUCUGAACAACUAUAUAGCAACAAUAAUAUUACAUUAUCUAUAGAUGAUAUUAAGAAUUGCUGCUCCGCUUAAUUAUCAAAUUAUCUUAAUGAUUAAAUUGAUGAUAAUUUUUAAGAAAGUCGCCAUUAACACUUAGCGUAACAUUUUUGUGGUUAAAUCGUGUGUAACAGCUUAAAAUUAAUAUGUAACAAGACUAUAUUUUGCACCUUCUAGAAUGAUUAUUGAAUACGUUUUAAUAAAAAUCCAUAAAUAAUGGAAUAUGUUGCGGUCAAAGUCCACAAGUUUUCUAUUACUGACAUACAAGAGACAAUUUUACUUCCUGAUUUACGUGACGAAAAGUAGGAAGAACAUAUGCUUUCACUUUUUCUCGUAUAAUCAUAUGUAACAUAAUGCUAAUUACUAGUGUGAAGGAUGUUAACAGAUUAUUCACUUCCUUUUUAGCAGGCUAAAUGUUAAUACGGGAUCGUCGUAAUGUGACACUUAACAUGAAUAAAAUGUUCAUCGCAUUUUUUUACAUUUUGUUCUUCAAUUUCGUUCGAUGCUGAAUGCUGGUGUCGGGCGUAUCUGUCACGAUCUGUCAAGUAAAAAGCGCGAUAUCUUCUCGAUAUCUUUGAUAUCGACUACGCAGAAAUGUGCUUCAGUACCUGUCUAAAAUAUUUGCUGAUAAAUACUAAAUAGAAUGCGUUAUAUUUGUAAGCCAUUUAACAAAAAGGUUAAUGUAAAUUAUUCAAAAUUGAUUUAUAACUCGUAAUUCAUUGACAAAAAUAAAAAGAGAAAAUAUUAUUAAAAAUAUAUAAACGUACAUAAUCACAAGAUCUAAUUAAUAGUAACAAAUUCUUUAAUGCGAUUCUUUACCAUAUAGAAGAAUGAGCGCUUUAUUUUCCGUUUGAGUUAUUAAAAUUAAUGUAGUUAUAUACUACUUGGGACAUCGAAUCACUAUUCUCUACGACGACACCGUCGUUUCGAUAGUUAAUGUGUAUCAAUAUUUUACGUAUUCCGCAUAAGCAGCGCGGUAGGUAUUUGCGUUUAUUAGCUAUAAACCCUCUGCAGGUGGGGCUCGUCGCUGCGGGACGGAUUUAUGGACCGUGCACUUUCCGAGAAAAUGACGGUCCGUAGACGAAGCUUUGUACAUUAUGUGUUGUUGUGGAAAAGUGCUGAAUGUGCAUCAAUAUUCGACAAUGUACGUUGAUAUUGAUGGUAUUUACAAUUAAUGAAAUAAUUGUUGGAAAUUUAUCUUGUAUUAUAAAAUGUUCAGUUAACUCAGAAAAUUUAUUAAAAAAAAUACAAAAUAAUUAAAAUUAAUCACUUUAUAUCAGAUCACGAAAAUUAGUUCUUCAGAUCAAAUAUAAAAGCAGCAUAAUUUCAAGUUUAAUUUGGGUUUCUAAAAUUUCAUCAUUGUUCUUUAUCUCAAAUUUCCUUUUUCAAAAGUCUUCCUUUUUUUAAUUUUGCCUUCCAAGAUAGAAAUAUUCUUUAAACGUUUCAGCAAAAUAUUUGGAACAUGCUUCAUUCUUCUUAAUUGAAUUUAGACGGAAUGCUCAGGUGGGUCUUUCUAUUGUACGUCAGACCAGGUGAUGCAACUCCACUCUAUCUCGUUAUUUCUGAUGCUAUAUUCCGCUACCUCGUUAAUUUACACGCGACUAAAUGAAAGGUGUAUUUGGACAUGCGACAGCGUAAUAUUAAGAUAGUAUAUACAUUUGUGUAACAAGGUAUAAUUCAUGAAUAUAUAUUUACGAAGAAAUAAUACUAAGAUCUCUGAUUAAAUCUAUAAGGUUGUACUUAUUCUGUUUAAAAAAAAAUUAAAAAGCGAGAGACUUUUUUAAUAAAUACAAUUUAUCUUUUGUGUAGUCAAGUUUUUUUUUACAUCUAUUAUACGGAAACAAUAUACCAAUCUUGUUAUUUUAAAAAUAAAUUUGUUAUUACAUUGCAUAUAAUAUACAUAUCUGCCAUGGAAUGUUAAGAAAUAAAAUAACUUCGUAUUUAGGAUCGCAAAUAUAUGUCUAAUAUCAGUUUACUUGAAGCGACAGCAAUGCGUCUCCCUCGCCAAAUUUGAUACAUGCGGCUAAAAUUGACAUUGUAUGCGCACAACGUUCAUACAGGAUGCAGAAAAGAUCGUUCAUCAUUUCGCAUAGCAUGCAGUCGGAUAUAGAGAACAUGGAAAACGUCAUAGGAAGUGGAUUCUGAGAAUACUUUCAAACUAUUUUCUUCGCGACGUUAUAGCAAAAACGUAAAGUACGGUUGCUUUCGGCACAAUUGAUCGUUGUGCAACGUAAGUUCUCUUGUACGCAUAAAUAUGAUAGCGAUAUGGAAAUUUUACUUAAUGCUAGAGAGAUGGAAACUUUUAAGAAUCCCAUUUAUCAAAGUUUCGCGACGGUUGCAAGUCCGCGGUAAAUUUUAUUUUGGAAAACUUUAUUUUAAAGAAUCGAGCAUGCAUGUAACGCGCUCGAAAGACUGGUCUAUGUCGAUUGUUGCAGAUAUUAUAGACAUUUUUAUCAUUCUCAGUCUCCCAUUAAAAUUUAUAUGUUUAAACAGUUUUUACAACAGUUCAGUGUAAAUUUUAUUUGUAUAAAGUUGAUUACGAUGUUUGUAACAAAAUUGUUGUUUAUUAUUGUUCUAUGUGGAUGUUUUCUCUAAAUAUGCUCUCUCUUUUCCAAUAUAUUUAUAUAUUUUGAAUAAAUAUUGAGAAGUUCACGACGCUGCUGUUAUUUGAAAGUUUACGAGAGGUACUUGAACCAUCCAAGACACACGUACACUCACACAUACAUACGCCACGAUUGCCUCUAGCAUGCGUAUGUAUAUCGAUAUUCUCGUUCUGCCGAAUGUUCGACAUGCCCCACGGAUAUGAGGGGCUCGCGUACGUUCGCAUCGACAUACUAACUAAGCGGGAUUGCAGUUAAACAGACGUUGCACGUAUUUGCGACGUGUGGUGUAAAGUCCGUUUCCGUAAUUCGAAUUAAUAGAACUGUGCACCACCGUCGUCGCCUUCAUCAUCACUAUCAUCGUCACCGCUGCCAGCCUCCAAGUUAAAGGCAGCCUAUUCCCGGGAACCUCUCGGCGCAUUCGAGCAAACGAGCCGCGACAGUCGAGCGAAAUGCAAUUUCGAGGACGAGCGGCGGUAUGCCGGGGUUUGAAGACAGAACAGGAAGGGGGAUGGUUUAAGAAGAAGGAGAUGAGAAGGAGUGAGGAUCAGCGUGUCGUUUCGAGAGCUGCUCGAUACAUAGUACGUGAGGUAACCGUGACGGACAGAAAAGAAAAGAGAGGAUAUGUCUCCAAUUUCCUAAGUAACUUCUGUUCUUCUGCGGAUACCAAGUCCGCUGCAUUUUCGUGUAGAUGUACGCUCGUAAGGAAAAAACAAGGACUGGGCUUAUUGUCACGUGUGCAUACGUACGCACGAUAUAUCUAUGAUAUACCUAUUCGUGAUCAUCCACUGUAAAUAUAGAAUGAAUAAAAUAGGAGAAAGUACUGUAUUAUAGUAAUUUUAAUAUAAAAGAAUCCAAUGAGAGAGGGAGAGAGAGAGAGAGAGAGAGAGAGAGAGAGAGAGAGAGAGAGAGAGAGAGAGAGAGAGAGAGAGAGAAAAGGAGGGAGGAAGGGAGGGAGAGAGAGAUCCUAUGAAUGACUGCCAUUGACCAUCUACAAGUAUAGUGUAUUAUAAACAGUAAUUAUGUAAAAACUAUCUUUAGAUUCUUAUAUAUUUUUAGUUUUUAACAUAUUAUAUAUACUAUAUAUAUAUAUAUACAUAUAUGUUUUUCUUUGUUGGAGAUAUGUAUACUUCGGGCACGUAGAAAGUCAAACUGGCUAGCAAAUUGAGAGUUCGUGCCACGGUUUUGGCGAAUUUCCAAGAAGGCAAGACUUUUCCUUGUUCGUUUCGUGAGCGACAAUCGUCGUCCGAAUUAUCUGUGGGUGUCAGUGUAGAAGGUUCGAUCGUUAGUGAAAAAUACGAUUACGAAAUAAAGAAAUAAACAUUUUUUAAUUGUU
rnacentral:lncRNA from 1 species